CACUGUUAUGCUCCUUAAUAGCCAGGUGGCCUUCACCAGUCCAUGCAGCAUCAAGAGUGUCAGAUAAACUUUCCACAGAAGGGAACUUUCCAUCUGGAAGUAUACUUCCGACAUUUUUUCCAGGUUCCAGUACAUUUCCACCUCCUGUAGGGAUAAACUUUCCACAGAAGUAAACUUUCCAUCUGAAAGUACACUUCUGAUAUUUUUUCCAGGUUCCAGUACAUUUCCACCUCCUGUAGUUCUUAUAGAACAAAAAACCUCAGUGUCUUUCCCAUGAGUUAAGUUCUCAUCAAUAUUCAA
rnacentral:lncRNA from 1 species